GGGGGUGCACUGGCUUCGACGGGGGUUGCGAAGUUACCUGGUGCAUGCCGAGGGGGCAGCUUUCCUCGUAAAUCCAGCGGCAAAACUCUAGUUGCCAACGACGACAACUACGCUCUCGCCGCUUAAGGCGUAAGCCCCGAAACUGCUUGUGUCCGUGCUCGCAGCGUAGGGUCAUCAUCACGGAAUCGCCGGGAGUGGUUGCCUGUCAGCACCCGGUCAACCUAAAACAGGCUGGUCCUGCGGUGCGCUUUGCCCACCGUGCUGUCGCAGGAUGAGAUCCAACGGGGGGAUAAGCAUGUAGUACCGGGGAUGGAGUGCCUUCGGACGGCGGUUCAAUUCCGCCCACCUCCACCA
rfam:Pseudoxanthomonas sp. Root65 contig_2, whole genome shotgun sequence.